rnacentral:snRNA from 1 species
AGCCAUGCAGUGAGCACAAAGCAAACUAUUCUUUCGCCUUUUACUAAAGAAUACCGUGUGUGCAUUGCAAAUAGUGGCAUAUGCCAAUUUUUGGAGGGGUUCUCUUCUUUGAGCACC